rnacentral:rRNA from 1 species
AUUGAACGCUGGCGGCAGGCUUAACACAUGCAAGUCGAGCGGGGGAAGGUAGCUUGCUACCGGACCUAGCGGCGGACGGGUGAGUAAUGCUUAGGAAUCUGCCUAUUAGUGGGGGACAACAUCUCGAAAGGGAUGCUAAUACCGCAUACGUCCUACGGGAGAAAGCAGGGGAUCUUCGGACCUUGCGCUAAUAGAUGAGCCUAAGUCGGAUUAGCUAGUUGAUGGGGUAAAGGCCUACCAAGGCGACGAUCUGUAGCGGGUCUGAGAGGAUGAUCCGCCAGACUGGGACUGAGACACGGCCCAGACUCCUACGGGAGGCAGCAGUGGGGAAUAUUGGACAAUGGGGGGAACCCUGAUCCAGCCAUGCCGCGUGUGUGAAGAAGGCCUUAUGGUUGUAAAGCACUUUAAGCGAGGAGGAGGCUACUCUAGUUAAUACCUAGGGAUAGUGGACGUUACUCGCAGAAUAAGCACCGGCUAACUCUGUGCCAGCCGCCGCGGUAA